rnacentral:lncRNA from 1 species
GCCAUCUAGGGGUUGACUUCAUGGGUUGGAAAAUGUGAUCUUUCCCCUCCCCUGGAGGUUGUUAGCAACCAGGUGAUGGGGAGUGCUACCUACCCAUUUCCUUCUCUUUGAUAAUCAGCUACCUGUCCUUUGCCCUGGUCUUGGCAUCAGCAAUGAGGAGCUGCUGUCAUGUUCUGUAGGAUCAACUUUCCCUUCUUGGCACAGUGUGCGCCCUGUGUGUUUAAACAGCUAAAGCAGCAAUAUACAAAUGCCAACAUAACUAUUAAACCACCAGACUGUCCUUUGUGCCCCCUUGCGUCACCCUCACGGUUUAAACCAAUCAUUUUUAAGUGCGUCAACCCCUUGAACUAACUAAUAAUCCUUUCCAGAUUCUUUCCCGCCACUUGAUAAGCUAAUCAUGUUUUAGAGGAGUUGUUUGAUUUUUCCCGUGGUGUGUGAUGAUUUGCUAAGAGAUGCUAUGAUGUAUGUAAAGUCCCUGCCUUCCCCAAGAGUGUAUAAAAACUGUUGCAAACUCCGGGCUGAGGGCUCUCAGUGUCACCAGUUGCUGUGUGUGGAGAGGACUGAGCUCGCUCGCAAUAAACGCCUCUUUGCUGCUUACAUCGAUCUUGGUCUCUGGUGGUCUUUUGGGGGUCCCGA